UACGUAGGGUGCGAGCGUUAAUCGGAAUUACUGGGCGUAAAGCGUGCGCAGGCGGUUCGUUGUGUCCGAUGUGAAAGCCCCGGGCUUAACCCGGGAAUGGCAUUGGAAACUGGCGAGCUUGAGUGCGGCAGAGGGGGGUGGAAUUCCGCGUGUAGCAGUGAAAUGCGUAGAGAUGCGGAGGAACACCGAUGGCGAAGGCAGCCCCCUGGGUCGACACUGACGCUCAGGCACGAAAGCGUGGGGAGCAAACAGG
rnacentral:rRNA from 1 species